GCAACAACAACAGCAUUGAAAACACCGGUUCUCGUUCGAUCACCAAAGUUAAGCAACGUUGGGCCCGGUCAGUACUUGGGAAGGUGACCAUUUGGAAACGUGGUUACCGGGUUA